AGAGUUUGAUCCUGGCUCAGAACGAACGCUGGCGGCGCGUCUUAAGCAUGCAAGUCGAGCGGUAAGUCGGGUGCUUGCACCCGGCCUAGAGCGGCGGACUGGUGAGUAACACGUGGGUGAUCUACCCGUAGGUUGGGGAUAGCCAUUAGAAAUAGUGGGUAAUACCGAAUGGGUGGUUGGAGGAUUAUGAUUCUCCAAAGAAAGGAGCUACGGCUCCGCCUGAGGAUGAGCCCGCGUCCCAUUAGCUAGUUGGCAGGGUAAAGGCCUACCAAGGCACUGAUGGGUAGCCGGCCUGAGAGGGUGAACGGCCACACUGGGACUGAGAUACGGCCCAGACUCCUACGGGAGGCAGCAGCUAAGAAUAUUCCGCAAUGGACGAAAGUCUGACGGAGCGACGCCGCGUGGAUGAGGAAGGCCGAAAGGUUGUAAAAUCCUUUUGUUGACGAAGAAUAAGCGGAGGAGGGAAUGCCUUCGUGAUGACGUUAGUCGACGAAUAAGCCCCGGCUAAUUACGCGCCAGCAGCCGCGGUAACACGUAAGGGGCAAGCGUUGUUCGGAAUUAUUGGGCGUAAAGGGUGCGUAGGCGGACCCGCAAGCCUGGCGUGAAAACCUGCAGCUUAACUGCAGGCGUGCGUUGGGAACUGCGGGACUAGAGUCAUGGAAGGGGAGUUGGAAUUCCAGGUGUAGGGGUGAAAUCUGUAGAUAUCUGGAAGAACACCGGUGGCGAAGGCGAACUUCUGGCCAAUGACUGACGCUGAGGCACGAAAGUGCGGGGAGCAAACAGGAUUAGAUACCCUGGUAGUC
rnacentral:rRNA from 1 species